CCGCCUAAUGGCAACAGGUUAUGUAGUUCAACCUCGACUUGUGAAUUGAUAUCGACUAGUUGGAUAAACUCGACGUUAAUUGAUCGAUGUCGUACUAACGUGUCUCGCUGCAAACUAAUUCCGCGCAACAGACGUUCUCUUCCGGGGAGCGGACGGUACAUCCCGUGGGUGGUGGAUUUGGUAAUCGUGGACAAACUCGAAGACGACAUCUGAGCGCGCCCUCGUUGCACCUGCACUGCAAACAGGGCUCGGACGUGACCACGGACGUGCCCUCCUCGUAUCUGCGGCCCUCGUAUCUGCACCCUGCGACAGACCAACUCGUUCCAGUUAAUAAAUUAUUCUGAGAUAUAAUAAAAAAGUGUUUUUUGAAAUAAAUAUUUCGUUUUUGUAAUAAUCGAAAAGAUAACUUCCCUUCCAUGAUAUUUUAAAAUUUGUGGGAUGUAAUAAGAAUUUUAUUUGUAGAAUAUAAUUGCCAAAUAAAUUGCAAUCUUUUUCCCUCGUUUUCUUUUAAAUGUUCAAAACGUGAAUACGUAGAAAAUGUUUUAAUAUUCAAAUAUAUUUAUUUGACAUGGUUUUUCUAAAAAAAAAAAAAUAAAUAAAUUUUUGAUAAAAUUUUCUCAGGCAAGUAAUCGCAAAUACAAAAAUUGGGAAUUGGUAGGAAAGUAAAAGUGAUAUUAUAAUUUGAUGAAUGAGUGAAAUUUUAUAAAUUGUAAAUAAUAUUCGAUAAAUAAAUGAAUUGUGAUAAA